rnacentral:rRNA from 1 species
CGCGUAGGUGGUUUGUUAAGCGAGAUGUGAAAGCCCGGGCUUAACCUGGAACGGCAUUUCGAACUGGCAGACUAGAGUGUGGUAGAGGGUAGUGGAAUUUCCUGUGUAGCGGUGAAAUGCGUAGAUAUAGGAAGGAACACCAGUGGCGAAGGCGGCUACCUGGACCAACACUGACACUGAGGUGCGAAAGCGUGGGGAGCAAACA